rnacentral:lncRNA from 10 species
UUCAGACUGCUGUGCUGGCAGCAAGAAUUUUAAGCCAGUGGAUCUUAGCUUGCUGGGCUCUGUGGGGGUGGGAUCUGCUGAGCAAGACCACUUGGCUCCCUGGCUUCAGCCCCCUUUCCAGGGGAGUGAAUGGUUCUGUCUCACUAACGUUCCAGGUGCCACCAGGGUAUGAAAAAAAACUCCUGCAGCUAGCUCAGUGUUUGCCCAAACAGCCACCCCAUUUUGUGCUUGAAACCCAGGGCCCCUGUGGUGUAGGCACCCAAGGGAAUCUCCUGGUCUGUGGGUUGUGAAGAACAUGGGAAAAGCAUAGUAUCUGAGCCAGAUAGCACUGUCCCUCAUGGCAAGGUCCCUCAUGGCUUCCCUUGGCUAGGUAGGGAGUUGCCUGACCCCUUGUGCUUCCCAAGUGAGGUGACACCCCCCGCUUCUUCAGCUUGCCUUCCGUGCACUGCACCCACUGUCUAACUAGUCCCAAUGAGAUGAGCCAAGUACCUCAGUUGGAAAUGCAGAAAUCACCCACCUUCUGCGUUGGUCUAGCUGGGAGCUGCAGACCAGAGCUGUUGCUAUUCGGCCAUCUUGCCUGGGCAUCUCUGAAUCAGUUUUUAAAGAAAAAAAAACUGAGUGCAGCGGCUCAUGCUUAUAAUCCCAGCAGGAGAUCCCAGCAGGAGGCCAAGGCAGGAGAAUUGCUUGAGCCCAGGAGUUCAAGACCAGCCUGAGCAACACAAUGAGACCCCUUCUCUACAAAAAAUUAAAAAUUUAGCCAGGUGUGGUAGUGGCACACAUCUGUAUUCCCAGCUACUCAGGAGGCUGAGGCAGAGGGUCACUUGAGCUGGGAGUUCAAGGCUGCACUGAGCUAUGAUCGUGCCACUGCACUCCAGCCUAGGCAACAGAGCAAGACCCCAUCUCAAAAAAAAAAGAAAGAAAAAAUAUAUAGUUUAAAAUGAGUUCCAGCUAUCUUUAAAUUAUGCCCCACUUAUCACUGGUCUGAAUAAAGAAGGAGAAAGAGAACUUCCCUGUGCCAGAAUGCAGUCAGGUCUAUUUCACAGCCAGCUCCUGCUGACUUUAAGAAAGCUCAGCUUGUGCCAUCAGAGUGGAAUUCCUUGGCCCAGGGCCUCCAGCAGAAGCCCCCUGAGAGGUCACCCUGAUCCUCCAGCCCAUCCCAUCUCCUGACCUUCUCUGUCAUUGCUAUCUUGCCAGUCACCCCUCCAGCCCCCACUUCACCCAAGAUCUUCCCCGUGGGAAUGAACUGAAACAUCGAGAUUUUUCUGUGGUGAUCGAACUGGAGGACUCUAACUUUCACUUACAAGAUCUAUUCAUGUUUGCAACAACAUAUCAUGAUGGGUGGAGAAUACUAAUACCAAAGGACUGAGUCUCUUUAAAUUUGACCAACUGACUUAGCAGGCAGCUGGUGCCUUGGUUCCUUUCUAUCCCUCAUGCUUAAGAUAACUUGACAAGACACUGAGGGAUAUUUUGAACCUUUCAGGCCUAAAAGCUGUGAUUUGGAUGGAAUUAAUAAAAUGGCAAGAGCUAUCUCCAACUUUGCCACCUGAGAAACACAAGUCCAAGUCCAAUACUUACAGAAGAAAUAACUAUUCCACCUAGUCAAGGAACUAGCCAACACUUAAUGGAGGAUUGCCCUUGGUUAUAGAGCUAACUGCAAAUGAAGUAACUAGAGGAAGACCAUUUACCUUCUCCAUUGAAGAGACCAUUCAAGAGCCAACUCAGCAAUCAGGGUCUAGCAGUGUUACUGACUGGAUGACUGGCACUUAGAGUCCAGCACCCUGCUGAGAAACCAGCAACCCAUGUGAGGAUUCCAUGGCCAACUGAGAUCACAAGACUCUUGAACAGAAGAAAUGCCAAGAGAGCUAGAAUCUUACAGAUGGUGGUAUUAAUAAUGGAGCAAACUAGAACCAAUGACAAAGACAUGAAGUCUGAAAAUAGCACAGAGAAUAUAAAUAUUGUGAGAUGAAUGUUCCCCCUUCAAUUCUCCUUAUUUGCCAAAUAUUUUCAUUUCCUUUUGUCAUUAUAGAAAAUAAAACCAUGCAUCACAGUCAAAAGUGCUCCACUAGCAACAUUGUAUGAUUCACUCUUUUUGUCAUACAUGUCUUUAGUAAUUGAUGGAUAUUAAAAUCACACAGACUAUUUAAUAAGGGCUUAUUUUACUUGCAUCGCCACUUUGAUUCAAAAAAAGAUUUAAGGUAGUUAAUAAGGUUAGAAGGAAAGAGAGUUAACAAAGACAAGAACUUUAACUAGAGUCAAAACUAAAGUCAAUAUUUAAGAAAUAAACACCACAUAGUCUCCCACGCUUUCUC